CCUACGGGUGACAGCAGUCGAGAAUCAUUCACAAUGGGGGAAACCCUGAUGGUGCGACGCCGCGUGGGGGAAUGAAGGUCUUCGGAUUGUAAACCCCUGUCAUGUGGGAGCACAAUAACAAGAUAAUCCCAAAAGAGGAAGACACGGCCAAACCUGUGCCCGCAGCCGCGGUAAUACAGAGGUCCCAAGCGUUGUUCGGAAUCACUGGGCGUAAAGCGUGCGUAGGCUGUUUCGUAAGUCGUGUGUGAAAGGCGCGGGCUCAACCCGCGGACGGCACAUGAAACUGGGAGACUUGAGUAAUGGAGGGGGAACCGGAAUUCUCGGUGUAGCAGUGAAAUGCGUAGAUAUCGAGAGGAACACUCGUGGCGAAGGCGGGUUCCUGGACAUUAACUGACGCUGAGGCACGAAGGCCAGGGGAGCGAAAGGGAUUAGAUACCCCUGUAGUC
rnacentral:rRNA from 1 species